rnacentral:rRNA from 1 species
CAGCAGCCGCGGGAAUACGUAGGGUGCGAGCGUUAAUCGGAAUUACUGGGCGUAAAGCGUGCGCAGGCGGUUCGUUAAGACAGAUGUGAAAUCCCCGGGCUUAACCUGGGAACUGCAUUUGUGACUGGCGAGCUAGAGUAUGGCAGAGGGGGGUAGAAUUCCACGUGUAGCAGUGAAAUGCGUAGAGAUGUGGAGGAAUACCGAUGGCGAAGGCAGCCCCCUGGGCCAAUACUGACGCUCAUGCACGAAAGCGUGGGGAGCAAACAGGAUUAGAGACCCCUGUAGUCCCUGUCUCUUAUAC